UACAGAGGAGGCAAGCGUUAUUCGGAAUCACUGGGCUUAAAGCGCGUGUAGGCGGUUGGGCAAGCGUCCCGUGAAAUCCCACUGCUCAACGGUGGAACUGCGGGGCGAACUGCUCGACUUGAGGUUGGUAGAGGUAGCCGGAACUCUAGGUGGAGUGGUGAAAUGCGUAGAUAUCUAGAGGAACGCCAGAGGCGAAAGCGGGUCACUGGGCCAACUCUGACUAUGAGACGCGAAAGCGUGGGGAGCAAACAGG
rnacentral:rRNA from 1 species